GCUACGGGUGCCGCGAGGGGGCGAGCGCGCACCCUCUCUCAUCACCGCGAGGCGUGCCUGCGGCUCCCGCAGUAGCCUCGCGUCUCCUGAGACUGCUACCUUGGACCCGUGCUUUCUCCUUUCCUCCCCCUUCCUAAAGGAGUACCCAUCCCUUCGCCCCACGCCUGGGAGUAGCCUGGGGACUAUAAAGUGAAAAUGGCGCAACAAGAACCGGCAGAGUCUUCUCAAAAUACCAAGCAGUCCAUUAUUUCAGAGGAGUUAAUUUCAGAAGGAAAAUGGGUCAAGCUUGAAAAAACAACUUACAGAGAUCCUACUGGUAAAACAAGUGUGUUGGGGAUGGGAGCUUCAGUGCUUUUCCCAGCACUGUCUUCUUCAGUCUUUAGGACUCUAACCGUAGGAGGCAGCAGAGAGAACUGGGCCAGAAGAACUUGGGAAACUGUGAAGCGGACAACGAGGAAAGGCCAGUCGGCUGAUGGUGUGGCGGUCAUCCCCUUGCUGCAAAGAACCCUUCACUAUGAAUGCAUCAUUCUGGUGAAGCAGUUCCGACCCCCGAUGGGGGGCUACUGCCUAGAAUUCCCCGCCGGUCUCAUCGAUGAGAACGAAAGCCCAGAAGCAGCUGCUCUUCGGGAGCUCGAGGAAGAAACUGGCUACAAGGGCGACGUUGCUGAAUGUUCCCCAGCUGUCUGUAUGGAUCCAGGCUUGUCAAACUGUACCACACAUAUCGUAACCGUAACUAUCAAUGGAGACGAUGCUGAAAACGUAAGGCCUAAGCCAAAGCCAGGAGAUGGAGGUACGUGUCCCGCUCGGGGGCUGGCCUUGAGUGCCUGCCGUGUGGUGCAGCGGGAGCGGCCGUGGCACUGUGAAUUGCUCAGGUGGGCUCGCCUGGUGUCCGGCUUUAUUUUCAUUUGCACUUUGUUUGUUUAGAAUUUGUGGAAGUGAUUUCCUUACCAAAGAAUGACCUGCUGAAGAGACUUGAUGCUCUGGUAGCUGAUGAACAUCUGACAGUGGACGCCAGAGUCUAUUCCUACGCUCUGGCGCUGAAACAUGCAAACACGAAGCCGUUUGAAGUGCCCUUCCUGAAGUUUUAAGGCCAAAGGACAGUCGCCGUGUUUCUGUAACCAGGACACAGGCCUCCAUCAUUAAGACUUUGUAUUCAGCUUAGCUGCAAUGGAAAUUUGAAAUUAGUUUUUUCAUAAAAUAAAAUCACAGAAUGCA